rnacentral:rRNA from 1 species
UACAGAGGAUGCAAGCGUUAUCCGGAAUUAUUGGGCGUAAAGCGCGCGCAGGUGGUUUCUUAAGUCUGAUGUGAAAGCCCACGGCUCAACCGUGGAGGGUCAUUGGAAACUGGGAGACUUGAGUGCAGAAGAGGAAAGUGGAAUUCCAUGUGUAGCGGUGAAAUGCGUAGAGAUAUGGAGGAACACCAGUGGCGAAGGCGACUUUCUGGUCUGUAACUGACACUGAGGCGCGAAAGCGUGGGGGAGCGAACAGG